rnacentral:rRNA from 1 species
AUGCAAGUCGAACGAGAAAGUUCCCUUCGGGGAGCGAGUAAAGUGGCGCACGGGUGAGUAACACGUAGGUAAUCUACCUUCGGGUGGGGAAUAACCCAGGGAAACUUGGGCUAACACCGCAUAAUGCAGCGGCACCACAUGGUGACAGUUGUUAAAGCGGGGGAUUUUAGGACCUCGCGCCUGAAGAGGAGCCUGCGGCGGAUUAGCUUGUUGGUAAGGUAACGGCUUACCAAGGCGACGAUCCGUAGCCGGCCUGAGAGGGCGGUCGGCCACACUGACACUGACAUACGGGUCAGACUCCUACGGGAGGCAGCAGUCGGGAAUUUUGGGCAAUGGGCGAAAGCCUGACCCAGCAACGCCGCGUGAAGGAUGAAAUCCCUCGGGAUGUAAACUUCGCAAGAAUGGGAAGAAUUAGUAGGGGUUAAUACCCCCUAUGAUGACGGUACCAUUUGUAAGCUCCGGCUAACUCCGUGCCAGCAGCCGCGGUAAUACGGGGGGAGCAAGCGUUGUUCGGAUUUACUGGGCGUAAAGGGCGCGUAGGCGGCCAGCACAAGUCAGUUGUGAAAUCUCCGGGCUUAACUCGGAAAGGUCAACUGAUACUGUGCGGCUAGAGUGCGGAAGGGGCAACUGGAAUUCUCGGUGUAGCGGUGAAAUGCGUAGAUAUCGAGAGGAACACCUGCGGCGAAGGCGGGUUGCUGGGCCGACACUGACGCUG